CCAAGGAUCAAACUCAUGUCUCCUGCAUUGGCAAGUGGAUUCUUUACCACUGAGCCAUGAAGGAAGCCCUUUGCUGCCAGUAGCAGCUCCCAUUUGUUGAACACCUGCUACACUGUCUUUAAUACUCACUGUGAACUUAGAAGUUCACUGAAGAGGAAACUGUGGCUUCAAGAGGUUGAGUCAUAGCACAGAGAAGAAGCACUGCUGGACUUUCAAUCUAGUCUGGAUGAUUCCCCCAACAGCUUGUGGGAAUCACUGUUGACCUGGAAGCUGCCUAGCUGCCCUUCCCCCAAUACAUCGUGCAGUACCUGGGGACCUGAAGCAGGCGAGGGCCAUCAGCAGGGAGCAACAGUCAUGUAACUGUCAGAUGGAAAAGCUCAAGCAGCUGGGCAGCAUUCAAGAACCAAGAAGACAGGCGCACAACUAAGAGCUGGGGAAGAUCUCAGCACAGGGUUAACAUUCCCAUUUCACAGGUGAGGAAACUGAAGCCCAUCAAAGGACAGAAGUGACUUGAUUUAGGCCCCACAGCA